rnacentral:rRNA from 1 species
AGCGAACGCUGGCGGCAGGCCUAACACAUGCAAGUCGAACGAACCCUUCGGGGUUAGUGGCGGACGGGUGAGUAACACGUGGGAACGUGCCCUUUGGUUCGGAAUAACUCAGGGAAACUUGAGCUAAUACCGGAUGUGCCCUUCGGGGGAAAGAUUUAUCGCCAUUGGAGCGGCCCGCGUCGGAUUAGCUAGUUGGUGGGGUAAAGGCCCACCAAGGCCACGAUCCGUAGCUGGUCUGAGAGGAUGAUCAGCCACACUGGGACUGAGACACGGCCCAGACUCCUACGGGAGGCAGCAGUGGGGAAUCUUGCGCAAUGGGCGAAAGCCUGACGCAGCCAUGCCGCGUGAAUGAUGAAGGUCUUAGGAUUGUAAAAUUCUUUCACCGGGGACGAUAAUGACGGUACCCGGAGAAGAAGCCCCGGCUAACUUCGUGCCAGCCGCCGCAGUAACAC